GACGAACGCUGGCGGCGUGCCUAAUACAUGCAAGUUGAGCGCUGAAGGUUGGUACUUGUACCAACUGGAUGAGCAGCGAACGGGUGAGUAACGCGUGGGGAAUCUGCCUUUGAGCGGGGGACAACAUUUGGAAACGAAUGCUAAUACCGCAUAAAAACUUUAAACACAAGUUUUAAGUUUGAAAGAUGCAAUUGCAUCACUCAAAGAUGAUCCCGCGUUGUAUUAGCUAGUUGGUGAGGUAAAGGCUCACCAAGGCGAUGAUACAUAGCCGACCUGAGAGGGGGAUCGGCCACAUUGGGACUGGGACACGGCCCAAACUCCUACGGGAGGCCGCAGUAGGGAAUCUUCGGCAAUGGACGAAAGUCUGACCGAGCAACGCCGAGUGAGUGAAGAAGGUUUUCGGAUCGUAAUACUCGGUUGGUAGAGAAGAACGUUGGUGAGAGUGGAAAGCUCAUCAAGUGACGGUAACUACCCAGAAAGGAACGGCUAACUACGUG
rnacentral:rRNA from 1 species